ACAUUGCUGUGCAAGUGGCAAAAAGAGUCCUGUCCCAGCACUGCCAGGGUAAGAUAAAGGCUGGUCAUCUGUGCAUGCGUUCAUCUGAGUGGAACGUGAGUCCCGGGGGCUGCUGCCACCGUGCCGGUCCCUCCUGUCAUCCGAGCCCGUGUCAGAGGACGCGGCGCCUGCAAGGCAAGUGCCGUGGCUCGGGUUGCCCUACGCGCGCUGGUCUAACACGCCACCUUAAAACACAAUUAGCCGCUGACACCAGGUGCUGCCUGGUUCUUGCCACGUUGCACUUCUCACGUUGCUCGUAACGGUGUUUGUAAAGUGCUCCCCCUUUUCAGUUAGCAGGGCUGCUCCUUCCACUUCCCCGUUCACCUGUGCAGCUGCCGGGGUCUCAGGGAGCCCGCGCCCAGUGCUGGCAAAAUAGCUGAAAGCCUGUCAUCAGGCAAAAUUUAUUCCACAUGCUGUUGAUGAAGCCAAUCAGUGCUGUGACUCCCCUUUUGUUUAUGUUUAAAGAAGAGACGAAGGAAAGCGUCAAUAAAUAAGCUCAAGCGACAUCGUCGCUGCGUGUGUCCGUUUCCUACUGUUGCGUGCUGGGCAUGGAGGGGUUCAAUCCCCCGGUUUCACACUCUGCCCCUCUUUGAAGUGGCUGCAGGUUCCCGGGCUGCUUUGUGCAUCCAAAGGGAUGCUUUGCGCUCCUCCGCAUCCCUGCAAUCAACAAUACCUGCUUCAUUUUUUUUCCCCGUAGUAAUUAUCCUUUUAUAUUUACAUAAAGGGGCUGCCCUCUGAGUGGGCAUAAAUGCUGACGACCAUAGGAGUUAGUUACUCUGUGCCUGCCUGAAUUGCAUUAGCUGCUAAUUACUCUGAGGUCUCCCUAAUGUCUCUGGUCUUAUCCACUAAAGCACACUGUGUAAUUUACAUUUACAUUGUGUCAUAUUACACUGGGGUUAUGACACAGCCAAGUGUAUUUUGACGUUACACUUUGUUUUCCCCCUAAUGGUGCUUGCAGGAAGAAGGGUUGCCGCAGGUGUGGCCAGAUCCUCUAGGCAAGAGGUGUGGAUUCAGGUCCUACUAGUCUUACUCCUGAUGAAGCUGGGCAAAUCAGUUGGCUCUGGAGUAAUUAGUAGCCCCUUCCUCACUGACCAUUGCAAGAUGUUUAAAGACAUGAAGCCAAAGACAAAUUUUUCAACCAGAACCCUCAAGAAAUGUCACUUCUGUGUCUUGCCAAGAGAGAUCCAGCAUUUUUUCUACAUAAACAUCUGCUGGAAACAUUUUAAAGGGAGGCAUUUUAAAUAAUGACGUUUAUAGCUUCUUGUUCUUUAAUAAGUCUGAAAAAGAAGAAAAAUGAAUUUGUGAUACAUUCCUUCCCAAAGCAACUUUUCUUCACUGAUAUGCAUCAUAUUAGAUGAUCUAAAAGUGAAAAUAUUAACAUUAUGUUGGGGGGAAAUGGUUAAGAACAUUUCUCUGAACUGUCUGUAUCAAUCAUACCUGAGAGUCAGUCAUAAAUCACAGGUUCCUUAAACUCCAGAAACUCCAUCAGUUCAUUGUUUCGCCUACUUGUUUGUGGCAAUUAUACUACAUUUAUAUUUACAUAAUAAUUGGAUUUUCUAUUAAAUUAAACAAAAAACCUCUCAAAAAAGAGAGUCAGGGAACCAUAACUUAGCUAUACAACCUGAACAAUGCAAACUCAUUUGUAGUUAGAAUGGAAACUUCAUCUUGUACAAACUAACACGGAUGUUUGGGGAUAAUUCUCUGUAGGAAAUGCAAGAUAUAUUGCCAGGCUCUUUAAGGUUCCAUGGAAAAGACACACACGCAUUGCCUUUGGUAAUAGGUGUUUAUUGCAAAGAUACACAAAGAUGUAAUUUAGCAAGAAAUGUUAUCUCGUAGUUACUUUGGGUUUCACUGUUUUAAAGAAUCAAGUGUACUGCAGGCAUCAUGAAGAAGUGAGAAAAUGGCUUGGCACCUUUCAGAUUACAAACUAAGCUCAAAUGAUAUGUCUUUUUUUCCUUUACCCAGCAUUUUAACUUCCCCAAACAACUGAUUUGAUUGACAGCUUUGCCACCAUCAAAAACCUAUUGUCAUGAAUUUCACCCAAGUCAGCUCAGGGUACUUAUGCACUAGUACUUAAGUAAAAGGUUGUUUCUCUUGACACAUGGAGUUCAAGCAAUUAAUGACCAAUUCAAUGAAGUACUGGUUUUGGUCCUUUUAGAAAUUAGCAAUGGCCAUGGCUGAAACAAUUUUCCUGGAGUUCUUCUGCAGCAUAUUCAAUAAAUUAGAUAAAAUGGAAAAAAGUGCAUAAGGCAAGGAUUCAGUAUGUAUGCCUUCAAAUGAAGACAGGUUAUCACCUGAAAAUAGCUUUGGAGACUGACAGUAUACUGAAAAACAUUAUUAGUAAUUACUACUUUUAGGAUGGUGGAGUAAGAUCCUCCAUCAAAACAUGAGUUUCCUAAACUCUGACAUCAGCCUCCAAACCACAUACACCCAUCCAAUGAAACAGGUAAAAAUCUGUCUGGCUACUAGGUGUUAAAUGCAGCCUUUGAGGAAUAAGUAUCUUAUAUGAACCAGGGACAACACGUAACUAAUCAGGUGACAAGAUGCAGACAUGGGUUAAAAUUUGAGCAGGAAAAGCAGAAAUUUAAUGCUAUAAUGGAAAUAGACUAUAGAAUUACUUCACCAAACUUACUAAACAAAUAAGUAAACAACCACAUACACAGCCAAAACAACCCUUAGUGUGUGUUGGUGAGGGGAAUUAGAAUAGGGACUUGCUAGAAUAUAUUAUUUUUAAAAUUUCAGUUUUCAACAGCAACAACAAAAAUGUCAUCUACAAAGAAAUAGGAAAAUGUUAGACAGAAGAAAGGAAGUGGGCAAUGGAAAUAUUGCUUUGGAAGAGGUCCAGAUGGUGAAUUAAAAAACACCUCCAAGCAAUUAUUACAGAUAUGUUCAAAGACUAAAGAAAAACCAUAUUUCAAUAAUUAAUGAUUAUAAUGACAAUGUCCUAUCAAAUGUAUUAUAUAUCAAUACAGAUAGAAAAAUAUCGAAAGGAAUCAAAUAGAAAUUCUAUAUUAGAAGUAAAAUAAAAACAAAAUUAAAAGUUUACUAGCAGGGUUCAACAGUAGAUACAAGGAAGCAUGAGAAAGAAUGUGUAGAUUUGAAGAUAGAUUCAACAGAGAUCAUGCAAUCUGAAGAGUAGAGAAAAAAAUAAUAAAAACAUGCAGGCAGCCUCAGAAAAAUGUGGGAUAACAAUAAAUACAUUAACAUACAUAUAAUGGAGUUACCAGAAGUAUAGGCAAGAGAGAAAAGGACAAAUAAAUAUUCAAAGAAAUAAUGGAUGAAAACUUCCAAAAUUUGAUGAAGACAUUAUCUAAACAUCCAAGAUCAAUUAAUGAACUAGAAGGAGGAUAAAUGCAGAGAUAUAUCAACACCCACACACAUCAUAGUCAACACAUUAAAACCCAGAGAUAAACAUAAUAUUUUCAAAUUGGUAAGAGGAAAAGUACUCAAGUACCAGGAGAUUCCACUAAAAUUAAUAGCUGACUUUGCAACAGAAACAAUGGAGGUCAGAAAGCAGUGGGGUGACAUACUUAAAGGGCUAAAAGUAAAAAUAACUGUCAGCCAAAUAUACACACAUUGAAAUUAUUUUUUAAAAAUGAAGGUUCAGGCCAGGUGCAGUGGCUCAUACCUAUAAUCCUAGCACUUUGGGAGGCCCAGGCUGGCAGAUCACCUGAAGUCAGGAGUUCGAAACCAGCCGUGACAACAUUGAGAAACCGCAUCUCUACUGAAAAUAGAAAAAUUAGCUGGCGUGGUGGCACAUGCCUGUAAUCCCAGCUACUCAGGAGGUUGAGGCAGGAGAAUUGCUUGAACCCAGGAGGCAGAUGUUGCAGUGAGCCAAGAUGGCACCACUGCACUCCAGCCUGGGUGACAGAGCGAGACCUCCUCUCAAAAAAACAAAACAAAAAACAAAAAGAAAAAAAAGUAAGAAGGUGCAGUGAGUACCUUGUGAGCUAAAUAAAUACCCAGAUAAUUGUUUCUUUAAGAACUGCUUUUCAAAAAUACCAAAGGAAAUUAAUCAAACUGAAAGCAAGUUAAACCAGUCAGUAAUCAAAUCCACAGAGAGAAAAAAAACACUCAAAAAGGCAAUUAGGUAGGCAACUACAAAAAAUGAGAUAAUUGCCUAUUUGUUUUUUUCUUCUCGUAACCAUUUUAAAAAGCAAUUGUUAAAAAUAUGUAAAUAAUUAUAUUAUUGAGCCUAUAAUAUGUAGAAAUGUAAUAUAUUUGAAAAUAAGAGCAUAGAGGAAGUAGGUAGAAAUAAAGCUAUAUAGGAAUGAGAAAAUGAUACCACAACUCAAAUACCUAGGAAGAAAUAAAGAGAACCAGAAAGAGCAAAUAAGG
rnacentral:lncRNA from 1 species